CCGGAACUACAAUGCCCAAAAUGCGCCAAGGUCAGACGCGCCCGGAGCCGGUGAAGGGAGCUAAGGAGACUCGGCCGCCAUGUUAGGAAUGCUGGGACGAUUCCGUGGAGCCAGGCUAAGGCACACAAGAGGACUACGUUUCUUAGUCUCCCUUGGAGCCGCAUCACUGUGUUCUGGCCAAUGAAAUAUGGGCAGAAGUGAGCAACAUCACCUCUAGGCCUGACCCAUGAAACUUUCCCUUGCAAUUCUCCAUGCUCUCUCCCCUCAUCUGUCAGAGGAUCUAGGAGAACCAUUAGGUGCAAGGGGCUCCCUGUUUCUCUCCCUACCUUUAACCUGUGUUGGAUUGUGAUGUGAGCCAGAAAUAAACUUUUAUUGUGUUAAUUA